rnacentral:misc_RNA from 1 species
AUAGAACUGGGUCUGUUCGAUGCUCUGCUGCUGUUGAAAUUCUGAACAUUUGGGGAAUUUGGGUUGCUUUACGUUUUGUAAACCUGUAAGUGUUGCUAUGGGGGCUCGCCGGAAAAAUUUACCUGACCAAUUGGGAUUUUGUAGAAGUAUGCUUUUCAUAGAUUUUUAUUUUGUUAGAAUUUUAUCUGUAAUUCUUUCAGUUUAGGUAUUUCUUUACUACACUAGUCAUUUGGGCAAUUAUAGAACGUGUGCAUCUGUGAUUGUUCUAUAAUAAUACUUGUUAAAUUAUGCUUGAUGAAUUCCAGUAUUUUUCCCAUUUAUUUCCAAAAUGUAAUUUUUGUCUAAUAAUAACCCUGUAUCAAAGAAAUAAUGCAAUUUCCUCUUCACUUCUAUUCUAUAUUUUGAUUUUCUCUUCCCUAUUUUGCAUAGUUAACCCCUUUUAUGCUAAAUUUAGUUU